UCCUAAGCUUUUUAUUAUAUUUGAUAUUGG
rnacentral:piRNA from 1 species